GAGGCCAGUUUCCUGCACCCGUGGGCUGCACCAUCUCUGUCUCCUCUUCACACAUCUGACCACAGGUUUGGAGGAUGGGUAGGUGGGGUUUGGCGCACAGACACAGAAGUGGGGAGGGAGAGAGAGGAGACAGAAGAAAAGAGAAGGUGGGGGAGAGAGAGCAAGCCUGCCCUUUAUGGUAGCUUGGGACUGGGGUUGCCACCUUGAAGACGGAUCUACUGAUUGAAUAUGUGACAAUAUGGCAGUCCUCCGCACCCUGCCUAAAGUCAUGGUUAAGUGGCUAUAGACCCUGGGGAUCAUUCCAUUCCCAUCAUGCAUCGGGGAAGCUAAGGAGUACACUACAGAUCCUAGUUCCCACUCAGUGGCCUGGCCCAGGUCUAUCCCCAUCCGAAAGCAUAAGUACAUCUCUUAAGUGGACAGCAGAAGUCAGACUGGGAACAUCUGUGCCCGUGGUACCUGCUGGGUUCCAGUAACUCCGGUUGAACCGGAUCUGGAACAGCUUGAAGACUUCCUUCAGCUCCAGUGGCCGGGGACCUGCAUCCUGGCAAGGAACCAAAAGUGGGGGAAAAAUUAUUGUGACCCCAAACUUAUCUCCAAGGUACAGGCGUCAUCCUGGGUUGUUCUCUGUUCUAAAUGUGAGCAUCCACACAGUUCCCUCUGAGAAGUCGGGACGGUAAAGCUAGACAGGACAGCUCACCCCUCCAGUUGAAUGCUCAUUCCAGCAUUCAAGAGGCUGAGGCAGGAGGACGACUGAGAGUUCCAAGCCAGUGAAGCAUUCUGGGCUACACAGUUAAAAGCUAACCUGAGCUACAAAGGGAGACCUUUGUCUUAAGGUCUCUCCUCAUAGCCCUGUCCUCACUACAUAGACCAGGCUGGUCUCGAACUCACAGAUCCUUCUGCUACCAAGCCCUUCGGGACCCUGUCUUAAGAAAAUUAAAAAGGAAGAAGAAAAAUAUGCCAGUUCAUAAAGAAAAGACCCCAGAGGUGGAGUGGGUAUGGAAAGCAGGUUAGAAACAUUUACCUUGGUGAGGAGGGAGUCACUGAGGCCUUGGCCCGCUAACAACAGGACCAGAAAGUAGGAGAGGUGGGCAGUCAGUGUCAUGGUGCAGCCACAAGUGCUAAGCUAGAGGCAGGAAGCUGUGUAGACUAAGCUGGAAAGGGCGGGGCUGGAGAAACCACGAGGGGGAAACCAGGCUUAGGGAGGAGGGGAGACCCUCCACCUGCCUGCCUGGCUAACCCCACCCAUUUCUUUUCGAAAGCAGCUCUUGGCUGUCAGGCUCCAAACUAUUCUGGGGUAUAAAGACAAAUCUGUUCCUAGGGAGACAGGGAGCCAAAUCUCAGUGGGCAGUGAUGAUACCGGCAUCACCAGUGUGAUGGAAAACCUAGCAAGGACAAGCCUCAGGUGCCUGGUAUCCAGACAGUGAUGAGCGGCAGUCGGGAAUUUUUAGAGACUCUCUCUUGCUUUGCUUGUGAAACAACUUAAGGGCCACCUUAAAGAAGUCUUCCCUGCUCGAGAGCCCAACCUCGGGUAUAAAUGCUCAUAGCCUCUUGAGCCCCGGACAUACCGUUGUCCAUUCAUCUCCCUCCCAGCCUUAGAAGUGUCCGAUCCAUCUGUGUCUAGACCCUUCGGGAAUGUGGGGCGGGCCCUGUGAGUAUUGAUCUGGGUUGUUUUGUUUGCUUGGUGUUGAGGCAGGGUCUCACUAAGUCACCCUGGCUGGCCUAAUGCUCCAGCACUGCACACCACGCUUUUACCCACAAAUCUUUGCUUGCCUCUGCCUGAGUUCUGGAAUUAGAGGCAGGUGUUACUAGACCAGACAGUUUGAGGCUUCUUUUGUGAUAGAAGGAAGUGGGACUAAUGUGGCCCAGGCUGGCCUUAAACUCCUCUUGCUCCUGCUUAGACCUGAAUACUUCCAUUAGAGACACCAAGGCGUUUUGAGUGACUGAAAACUUGUAGACAGCUUCUGUCACCAUUUCUUUUCCUCAAGAUGGCCUAUGAAUGAGGACAAAGAUAAGAGAAAGUAUCCUAGAAAAAACAAGCCCAAAGCCUGUAUGGCCUGGGAUGGGCAGUGCCUGAUAGCUGUUAAAGAUGUCUUCAUUCUAAGUGGGUCCUUGAGCUAAAGAGGCUCUCAGCCCACCACCAACCUUCAGGCCGGGAACCAGCUGCCAAGCCCAGAGAUCAGUGCGAAGAGUUGGCUUUCCAGGGUUCGUGCCCUGGGCAAAGGAGGGGGGUCUCAUCCUGGAGUCAUCCACUUGCAUGCUCUCUACCUUGAAUCUUCAUUAGGGGUUGUCUUAGAACUGCGAUGUUCCAUUAAACUCCACCCAUAUCUCUCCCUGGACAGU
rnacentral:lncRNA from 1 species